CAGGGAAUAUUAGUAAUGGGCGAAAGCCUGAACUAGCAACGCCGCGUGUGCGAAGAAGGCCUUCGGGUUGUAAAGCACUUUUUGAGAGGAUGAGGAAGGACGGUACUCUCAGAAUAAGUCUCGGCUAACUACGUGCCAGCAGCCGCGGUAACACGUAGGAGGCAAACGUUAUCCGGAUUUACUGGGCGUAAAGCGCGUGUAGGUGGUUUGGUAAGUAGGGCGUGAAAGCUCCUGGCUCAACUGGGAGAGGCCGUACUAAACUGCCGAACUAGAGGAUGGUAGAGGGAGGUGGAAUUCCGGGUGUAGCGGUGGAAUGCGCAGAUAUCCGGAGGAACACCAGUGGCGAAAGCGGCCUCCUGGACCAUUCCUGACACUCAGACGCGAAAGCUAGGGUAGCAAACGG
rnacentral:rRNA from 1 species